UGGAUAUAUUAGGUCUGCUCCGUCGAAAGCUCAGAAGAUCCUCUCCGUUUACUUUUGCAGUGGCAGAGUUGGUGGGUCUACUAUCCAUUUGAAAGGACAGAAGGAAACAGAGACGACUCUUGGACCAUUUCAUUCAGAGAACCUACACCAAAUAUCUUCUGGAUCCCAUCUGCAGCCUGUGAGGAUGUCAUCAGUGACUGGUGGCUGUCCAUUGGCUCUUGUCAUUCUGCUUCUCGUGUCAAUGGAUCCUACAGCCACUGAAGUGGUGAGAUCAGUCAGCGAAUGUGCAGAAUUCUUCCUGGAUGGAACCCCACCAAAAAUAUCAGGAGUGUUGGAGGAAGGGGACAUUAAGGACCAGAAUCGCUACAAGGCCAUAUGCCAGACAUAUAACAAUGGCAGGAGGUACAUGACGCUCUAUGACACAGUUAAGAAGAUCCCAGUGUUUUCUGCAUAUAAAUACACAGGAGAAUCCCAGCCACGUGAUAAUAUCAACUAUAUGGGGGGAGCCGCAGCUUGAAGAUGACAGAGAUAAUGAAAAGAACAUGAAACCAAUGGGAAAAAAAAGUUCUAACACACCAGGCUUACUUUAUGGACUACUAUCAUUUAAAAAAGGAGGGAAAGUAUAAUAGAGGGCAUUUGUUUCCGAGUUCUCAUGCAAGCAACAGGUUUCAGCGAUUAUCCACAUACACCCUGACCAAUGUGGUGCCACAAGAUAGAAACUUCAACUCCGGGAGCUGGGGCAUAAUGGAGGUCCAGGUAAAACAACUGAUGGAAGUAUGCAAGAGCCAAAACGACAACCUUGAAGCAUUUGUUGUGACGGGAGCGAUUCUCAAUGAUGACACAACAACCGACCAACCUGAAGCUACUGUGGCUAGAGCUGCAGCUAUCGGUAUUCCAAAACCCUCUGGACAGCAUUUUGCUGCUAUAGCCAAUCUAAGCAAAAAUGGUUAGCAAAUGCACACUGGGGUGACAACGAUGGAAAUCCUGUGCUAAACACCGGAACUUUAGCGCAACUGAGAGAUGCCAAAAGUGUUGAGCCGUUUCCAAAUGACAAUUGCCGUGGAGCUAGUCAGUCUUAAACACAACCUUACAAUGGAAAUUGCGCUCUCCAUGGUAACGAUUAAGCCUUGUUUUUUCAAUAUUGCUUCUAGAGCUGUCAAGCGAUUAAAAUAUUUAAUCGUGAUUAAUCGCAUUAAUGUCAUAGUUAACUCGCCGAUUAAUCGCAAAUCAUUUUUCUAUGCUAAAUAUCCCUUGAUUUUUUUGUCCCAUAAUUCUUCUCAUUUUAAUUCUCUUAUCAACAUGGUGAAGUGCAUCGGCUUGCCUUGUGCAAAUUAUUUUUUAUUGAUAACAACAUUGGCAUAUACUGAUCAAAACAGGACGAUACAAAAAAAGAGCCUAUAGUGCAAUCAAACGACUGCUUUGAACAAAUGUCAUUUGAACAUAGCAGUCAGGCUACUGCUUCUUUGUUUUGAGCCAAAGAAUUAUUAUUAUUAUUUAUUUUAUUUUUUAAAUAAAAUAAUUGCGUUAACCGCACGAUACAUUUUUUAACGCCGUUAAAAUUGGUUUGCGUUAACGCCGUUAAUAACGCGUUUAACUGACAGCUCUAACAUCAGUCAAUCCAUAUAACUUGAUCAUCAAAUAAAGAUAGUACUUAAAGGGGACCUGUUACGCCUUUUCGCUUUUAUGACCUAUAAACGUUGUUAGAAUGAUUGAUAAUCAUGUUUAACCACACUAAAGUGUCAAAUAAUGACGUACAUGCAUUUCGACGUGUUCCCUGCUGACAGUCUGUGGUGGCUGUGCAGACUGCAGAGCGCUAAACACUCGGGACAACGUUUACGAUUCACUUGUUCACAUUUCCGGGAAAUCAUCUACGUAGAGGCACUCCUGUCACGCCCCCAUAUGCCUGGUCAAAUCUGCCCACGCGCGCACUUCAAGAAAGGUAACCAAUCACAACGGAGUUGGGUUGGCAGGAGGGGGGCGAGGGGCCGGAGAAGGACGAAACCGAGCGUUGACAGAGAAUGCUGAAUGCGCCCAGAUGAGAGGAAGAGUUUCCCGAAAAUCUACAUCAUUUUGUGUGCUGUGAUUCGUUCCAGGUUGCGCUAUAGGAUUCAUUAAUAAGAAAUUAAGACCAGAAAAGUAGUAUAAUAGGUCCUCUUUAAUAGUCCCAGAUGAGAACUUUGAGAAUCUACUAUGUGCUAGCAAAGUCUUUCCUGCUACCUGAACCUCAACAUGCUAACUCUGGUGCCAAAGUAAUCUGGGUAACAACACCCUAUAUGGGCUCUUUCUUUCAAUACAUAUUUACUGGUUGUUAUACUGGAUAGUACCUCUUGCUAUUUGAUGGCACUAACAGGUCAUCUUCUUGCUCUCGCUGAAUGAAUAUUCUAAUCUCGUCUGCAUCUUCUUUAUGAUAUAAAUAAAGCAACCGAUACUGAGUGUGUU
ensembl:lncRNA